GUUAAUGGCGCAAGCCUGAUCCAGCCAUGCCGCGUGAGUGAAGAAGGCCUUCGGGUUGUAAAGCUCUUUUGUCAGGGAGCAAAUCCUGCCUGCUAAUACUAGGCGGGGAUGAGAGUACCUGAAGAAUAAGGACCGGCUAACUACGUGCCAUCAGCCGCGGUAAUACUUAUGGUCCAAGCGUUAAUCGGAAUUACUGGGCGUAAAGCGUGCGCAGGUGGUUACGCUAAGUCUGAUGUGAAAUCCCCGGGCUCAACCUGUGAACUGCAUUGGAGACUGCGUGGCUAGAGUGUGGCAGAGGGGGGUGGAAUUCCGCGUGUAGCAAUGAAAUGCGUAAAGAUGCGGAGGAACACCAAUGGCGAAGGCAGCCCCCUGGGUCAACACUGACACUCAUGCACGAAAGCGUGGGGAGCAAACAGGAUUAGAUACCCUGGUAGUCCACGCCCUAAACGAUGUCUACUAGUUGUUGGGGUAGCAAUACCUUAGUAACGCAGCUAACGCGUGAAGUAGACCGCCUGGGGAU
rnacentral:rRNA from 1 species